rnacentral:rRNA from 1 species
GAGUUGAUCAUGGCUCAGGACGAACGCUGGCGGCGUGCCUAACACAUGCAAGUCGAGCGAGGAGAUCCUCGGGAUGAUCCUAGCGGCGGACGGGUGAGUAACACGUGGGCAACCUGCCUCAUAGAGAGGAAUAGCCUUCCGAAAGGGAGAUUAAUACCUCAUAACAUUGCAGUUUCGCAUGGAACAGCAAUUAAAGGAGCAAUCCGCUAUGAGAUGGGGCCCGCGGCGCAUUAGCUAGUUGGUGAGGUAACGGCUCACCAAGGCGACGAUGCGUAGCCGACCUGAGAGGGUGAUCGGCCACAUUGGGACUGAGACACGGCCCAGACUCCUACGGGAGGCAGCAGUGGGGAAUAUUGCACAAUGGGGGAAACCCUGAUGCAAGCAACGCCGCGUGAGUGAUGACGGCCUUCGGGUUGUAAAGCUCUGUCUUCAGGGACGAUAAUGACGGUACCUGAGGAGGAAGCCACGGCUAACUACGUGCCAGCAGCCGC